AGCAAGUGUUUAGGAGAGGAGAGAAAGAGGGAGACCUAAAAGUGAAGAUCUAACAAAACAGAUCAGGAUACCAUAAACUCCUGAACCAAGCCAAAUGGAGAAGAGAACAGAGAGGGAGGGAGGGAGGGACUAAAAGAAGUGGAUAAACUUCAGUGUACCAAAACCACCACAGGAAAAUUUCAAGUAAAAUCAGAAGCACAAAGAACCAGCUCAAAGCACAAAUCACAUUCCAAGCCAAAAUGGGGGUUAGAUGUAAAGCAUUACCUUCCAAAAAUGUAGCUGCAAAAGCAGGACCAGUAAGCAACAAGAAGGAAGCAGCAAGCAAAAGUGUGAUUUUCACUUCCAUGGCAAAGCACUGGGAAGAGAGAGUGAGAGAGUUGUAAUGGACUUGGUGUAAGAGAGAUGAGAUGCCGGCCCUAGUAUUUAUAUUGGAAAUGGGAAAAAAAGUGGGAAAUGAGGAAG